CAUAUCAAUAAGCGGAGGAAAAGAAACCAACAGGGAUUGCCCCAGUAACGGCGAGUGAAGCGGCAACAGCUCAAAUUUGAAAUCUGGCCCCAGGCCCGAGUUGUAAUUUGCAGAGGAUGCUUUUGGCGCGGUGCCUUCCGAGUUCCCUGGAACGGGACGCCAUAGAGGGUGAGAGCCCCGUACGGUUGGACACCAAGCCUUUGUAAAGCUCCUUCGACGAGUCGAGUAGUUUGGGAAUGCUGCUCUAAAUGGGAGGUACAUUUCUUCUAAAGCUAAAUAUUGGCCAGAGACCGAUAGCGCACAAGUAGAGUGAUCGAAAGAUGAAAAGCACUUUGAAAAGAGGGUUAAACAGCACGUGAAAUUGUUAAAAGGGAAGCGCUUGUGACCAGACUUGCGUCCGGUGAAUCACCCAGCUCUCGCGGCUGGGGCACUUCGCCGGCACAGGCCAGCAUCAGCUUGCCGUCGGGGACAAAAGCUUCAGGAACGUGGCUCCUCUCGGGGAGUGUUAUAGCCUGUUGCAUAAUACCCUUCGGCGGGCUGAGGUACGCGCUCCGCAAGGAUGCUGGCGUAAUGGUCAUCAGCGACCCGUCUUGAAACACGGACCAAGGAGUCAACCUUAUGUGCGAGUGUUUGGGUGUUAAACCCCUACGCGUAAUGAAAGUGAACGCAGGUGAGAGCUUCGGCGCAUCAUCGACCGAUCCUGAUGUUCUCGGAUGGAUUUGAGUAAGAGCAUAUAGGGUUGGACCCGAAAGAAGGUGAACUAUGCGUGUGUAGGGUGAAGCCAGAGGAAACUCUGGUGGAGGCUCGCAGCGGUUCUGACGUGCAAAUCGAUCGUCAAACAUGCGCAUGGGGGCGAAAGACUAAUCGAACCUUCUAGUAGCUGGUUCCGC
rnacentral:rRNA from 1 species